GUGGGGAAUAUUGGGCAAUGGGCGCAAGCCUGACCCAGCAACGCCGCGUGAGGGAAGAAGGCUUUCGGGUUGUAAACCUCUGUCCUUGGUGACGAAACAAAUGACGGUAGCCAAGGAGGAAGCCCCGGCUAACUACGUGCCAGCAGCCGCGGUAAUACGUAGGGGGCGAGCGUUGUCCGGAAUUACUGGGCGUAAAGGGUGCGUAGGUGGCCUUUAAGUUGGAUGUGAAAUACCCGGGCUUAACUUGGGGGGUGCAUCUAAUACUGGAGGGCUAGAGUGCAGGAGAGGAAAGCGGAAUUCCUAGUGUAGCGGUGAAAUGCGUAGAUAUUAGGAGGAACACCAGUGGCGAAGGCGGCUUUCUGGACUGUAACUGACACUGAGGCACGAAAGCGUGGGGAGCAAACAGGAUUAGAAACCCCAGUAGUCC
rnacentral:rRNA from 1 species